CCUUUCGGGGGUACACGAGUGGCGAACGGGUGAGUAACACGUGAGUAACCUGCCCACAACUUUGGGAUAACGCUAGGAAACUGGUGCUAAUACUGGAUAUGUGCUCCUGCUGCAUGGUGGGGGUUGGAAAGCUCCGGCGGUUGUGGAUGGACUCCGCGGCCUAUCAGCUUGUUGGUGGGGUAGUGGCCUACCAAGGCGGCCACCGGGUUAGCCGGCCUGAGAGGGUGACCGGCCACAUUGGGACUGAGAUACGGCCCCAAUCCUAUGCGGAGGCAACAUGGGGAUAUUGACAAUGGGGAGGCGAAGCCUGUGCGCACCCGCGGCGGGGGGGGGGCUUCGGUGACUUCGGGUUGAAACCGGCGCUUUCAGCAGGGACGAAGCUUUUUGUGACGGUACCUGCAGAAGAAGCACCGGCUAACUACGUGCCAGCAGCCGCGGUGAUACGUAGGGUGCGAGCGUUGUCCGGAUUUAUUGGGCGUAAAGGGCUCGUAGGCGGUUGAUCGCGUCGGAAGUGGAAACUUGAUGCUUAACGUUGAGCGUGCUUUCGAUACGGGUUGACUUGAGGAAGGUAGGGGAGAAUGGAAUUCCUGGUGGAGCGGUGGAAUGCGCAGAUAUCAGGAGGAACACCAGUGGCGAAGGCGGUUCUCUGGACCUUUCCUGACGCUGAGGAGCGAAAGCGUGGGGAGCGAACAGGCUUAGAUACCCUGGUAGUCCACGCUGUAAACGGGGUGGGUACUAGGUGUGGGGUCCAUUCCACGGAUUCUGUGCCGUAGCUAACGCAUUAAGUACCCCGCCUGGGGAGUACGGCCGCAAGGCUAAAACUCAAAGGAAUUGACGGGGCCCCGCACAAGCGGCGGAGCAUGCGGAUUAAUUCGAUGCAACGCGAAGAACCUUACCUGGGUUUGACAUGGAUCGGAAGCUUCCAGAGAUGGUUGUGCCUCUUUUGGGGUCGGUUCACAGGUGGUGCAUGGCUGUCGUCAGCUCGUGUCGUGAGAUGUUGGGUUAAGUCCCGCAACGAGCGCAACCCUCGUCCACUGUUGCCAGCAAUUCGGUUGGGGACUCAGUGGAGACCGCCGGGGUCAACUCGGAGGAAGGUGGGGAUGACGUCAAGUCAUCAUGCCCCUUAUGUCCAGGGCUUCACGCAUGCUACAAUGGCCGGUACAGUGAGUUGCGACAUCGUAAGGUGGAGCGAAUCUCAAAAAGCCGGUCUCAGUUCGGAUUGGGGUCUGCGAACUCGG
rnacentral:rRNA from 1 species